rnacentral:rRNA from 1 species
UACGUAAGGUGCAAGCGUUAAUCGGAAUUACUGGGCGUAAAGCGUGCGCAGGCGGUCUUGCAAGACAGAUGUGAAAUCCCCGGGCUUAACCUGGGAACUGCAUUUGUGACUGCAAGGCUGGAGUACGGCAGAGGGGGAUGGAAUUCCGCGUGUAGCAGUGAAAUGCGUAGAUAUGCGGAGGAACACCGAUGGCGAAGGCAAUCCCCUGGGCCUGUACUGACGCUCAUGCACGAAAGCGUGGGGAGCAAACAGG